rnacentral:rRNA from 1 species
UACGUAGGGGGCAAGCGUUGUCCGGAUUUAUUGGGCGUAAAGAGCGUGUAGGCGGCCAUACAGGUCAGCUGUGAAAAACUCGAGGCUCAACCUCGAGACGUCGGUUGAAACCGUAUGGCUAGAGUCCGGAAGAGGAGAGUGGAAUUCCGGGUGUAGCGGUGGAAUGCGUAGAGAUCCGGAAGAACACCGGUGGCGAAGGCGGGUCUCUGGGCCGAUACUGACGCUGAGGAGCGAAAGCGUGGGGAGCGAACAGG